UGGGGAAUAUUGGACAAUGGGCGAAAGCCUGAUCCAGCCAUGCCGCGUGUGUGAAGAAGGUCUUCGGAUUGUAAAGCACUUUAAGUUGGGAGGAAGGGCAGUAAGCGAAUACCUUGCUGUUUUGACGUUACCGACAGAAUAAGCACCGGCUAACUCUGUGCCAGCAGCCGCGGUAAUACAGAGGGUGCAAGCGUUAAUCGGAAUUACUGGGCGUAAAGCGCGCGUAGGUGGUUCGUUAAGUUGAAUGUGAAAGCCCCGGGCUCAACCUGGGAACUGCAUCCAAAACUGGCGAGCUAGAGUAGGGCAGAGGGUGGUGGAAUUUCCUGUGUAGCGGUGAAAUGCGUAGAUAUAGGAAGGAGCACCAGUUGCGAAGGCGACCGCCUGGGCUCAUACUGACACUGAGGUGCGAAAGCGUGGGGAGCAAACAGG
rnacentral:rRNA from 1 species